rnacentral:rRNA from 1 species
CCUACGGGUGGCAGCAGUGAGGAAUAUUGGUCAAUGGUCGGGAGACUGAACCAGCCAAGCCGCGUGAGGGAGGAAGGUCCAGAGUAUCGUAAACCUCUUUUGUCAGGGAACAAAGGCGGGGACGUGUCCCCGGAUGAGUGUACCUGAAGAACAAGCAUCGGCUAACUCCGUGCCAGCAGCCGCGGUAAUACGGGGGAUGCGAGCGUUAUCCGGAUUUAUUGGGUUUAAAGGGUGCGCGGGCGGUCUGUUAAGUCAGCGGGCAAAGCCCGGGGCUCAACCCCGGCCCGCCGUUGAAACUGGCAGUCUGGAGUGGGGGAGAGGAAUGCGGAAUGCGCGGUGUAGCGGUGAAAUGCAUAGAUAUCGCGCAGAACUCCGAUUGCGAAGGCAGCAUGCCGGCUCCAAACUGACGCUGAGGCACGAAAGCGUGGGUAUCGAACAGGAUUAGAUACCCGAGUAGUC